GCAUAACAAUCUCAUGCAGAAGAAUAUAAAUCCAGGUACUGCAAGGUAGCCUUGACUCUUGAUUCUUUCAGAUAUCAUUGGUUCCGGAGGCUGCUCAGAGCAGGCACCAGAGAGAAUGAAGACUGUCCUACUAUGUGCUCUCUUAGGGAUCUUUACUAUGUUAAUGGCUGAAGAAAAAAAAAAGAGUUUUGAUUUAUCUGAGUGAUCGCAAGUGUGUUAAGAAUGAGUUUUUGUGUGAAUUAUCAGAGAAUCCAAAACAGUUUAUAGUUUCUGGUCGAAGCCUGUACAGAAUUAUUGAAGGUUAUAAGAUAUUAAAGAAAACCAGCGAACAAUUUGGGAUCUCCAAGAA
rnacentral:lncRNA from 1 species